rnacentral:rRNA from 1 species
GACGAACGCUGGCGGCGUGCCUAAUGCAUGCAAGUCGCACGGGGAGCCUUCGGGCUCCCAGUGGCGCACGGCUGAGUAACACGUGGGGAUCUGCCCGACCGUGGGGGAUAACGCCGGGAAACCGGCGCUAAUCCCGCAUACGCUCCUCGGAGGAAAGCGCUCACGCGCGCGGUCGGAGGACCCUGCGGCCCAUCAGCUUGUUGGCGGGGUAACGGCCCACCAAGGCUCUGACGGGUCGCUGGUCUGAGAGGAUGACCAGCCAGACUGGGACUGAGACACGGCCCAGACUCCUACGGGAGGCAGCAGCAAGGAAUUUUCGGCAAUGGGCGCAAGCCUGACCGAGCAACGCCGCGUGCAGGAUGACGGCCUUCGGGUUGUAAACUGCUUUUGGGGGGGAUGACAUCGACCGUACCCCCCGAACAAGCCCCGGCUAACUCUGUGCCAGCCGCCGCGGUAACAC